UCCUACGGGAGGCAGCAGUGGGGAAUUUUGGGCAAUGGGGGGAACCCUGACCCAGCGACGCCGCGUGAGGGAAGACAGCCUUCGGGUUUUAAACCUCUUUUGUACGGGAAGAUAAUGACGGUACUGUACGAAUAAGUCCCGGCUAACUACGUGCCAGCAGCCGCGGUAAUACGUAGGGGACGAGCUUUGUCCGGAAUUACUGGGCGUAAAGGGCGCGCAGGCUGCGUUACAAGUCAGCUGUUAAAUGCAUGGGCUUACCCCAUGAGUGCGGUUGAAACUGUAGUGCUAGAGUACUGUAGAGGCAAGCGGAAUUCCCAGUGUAGCGGUGAAAUGCGUAGAUAUUGGGAGGAACACCGGUGGCGUAGGCGGCUUGCUGGACAGUAACUGACGCUGAGGCGCGAAAGCCAGGGGAGCAAACGGGAUUAGAUACCCCGGUAGUCCUGGCCGUAAACGAUGAAUGCUAGGUGUGGGUGUAGCGAUACAUCUGUGCCGUAGUUAACGCGUUAAGCAUUCCGCCUGGGGAGUACGAUCGCAAGAUUAAACUCAAAGGAAUUGACGG
rnacentral:rRNA from 1 species